UUGAAAGGGAAACGAUUGAAGUCAGUCGUACCAGCGGGAAAUCAACCUUUCGAGUGGGGNNUUGGAGUUUUGAAGUGUGUCAAAACCUUUGAGAUUUCAAAAUAUUCGCUCUUUUGGUGUACUUUCUCGUGGGUAGGUUAACAUCGAUUUUGAUCAUCAUAAAAAGAUUGGAGGAAUGUAGCUUCGAUCUUGUAUUGAAGUGUUAUAGCCUUUGGUAAAUGUGAUGAUUAGGAUCGAGGAUUGCAACGAAUACCCUUUUGGGCUAUCCGCCUGAUCUCUGAUACGUGGCCUUGGUAUCGAAAGCGUGCUUAUGGUAUUGAGGUAUUACGGUCAAAAGGUUAGAACGGAUUACAUUCGUUAAGGAUGUUGACGUA
rnacentral:rRNA from 1 species